rnacentral:rRNA from 1 species
AGGUAAUGUAAUACCUAAUAUCAACAAAGAAACAAAUGUUUGUAUUCGCUCUAAGAAUUUUUUAUCUCGUGUAGUAGUAGUUAAGGUAAAAUUAGAACUAGCUUUAUUGAAUACACGUAGUCGAAACUGAAAGGUUGAUCGAUCACAAUGUGGCCUGAACAAAGCCCAUGACAAAAGUAGCAGCAGUGAGGAAUAUUGGUCAAUAGCCUAACGGCUGAACCAGCAACUUGGAGGAAAGUAAAGCAAUUGCUGAUUACAUUUAAUCUUUUAUAAGAUUUAGAGUUUGGUGUAAUUACUACUUAGUAGUUUAAAUUUCGAGGUAGAAUAUGAUGAUGACAUUUUCUAUCUUUAUGUCUUGACCAAAUUACGUGCCAGCAGUCGCGGUAAUACGUAGAAGACAAGUGUUAUUCAUCUUUAUUAGGUUUAAAGGGUACCAAGACGGUUAAUAAAGCCCAGAAUAUAUUAAAACAAGGGGACACAUUGACUAGAGUUAUAUGAAAGGAAGCUCUAAGGUACUGUUGAGUGUAGAGAUGAAAUUCUGUCAUACCAGAUGAGUGGCACAGAUUUAUGCGAAGGCAUCUUCUUAUGUAAUAACUGACGUUGUAGGACGAAGGCUUUUGAAGUGAACAGGAUUAGAUACCCCAGUAAUCUUAGCAGAAAAUGAUGAAUGUCAUAGGUUAAUCAAAAUUAUAAAAAAAAGACUUAUAAUUAGAAUUGGUCUAUAAAUGAAAGUGUAAGCAUUCCACUCAAGAGUAAUUUGGCAACAUUGGAACUGAAAUCAUUAGACCGUUUCUGAAACCAGUAGUGAAGUAUGUUGUUUAAUUAGAUGAUCCACAAAAAACCUUACCACAAUUUGAAUAUAUAUCUUCACCAGUUGUGAAGAUAUUUACAAGCGUUGCACGGCUGUCUACAGUUAAUGUCGUGAGAUUUUGGUUAGUUCCAUAAAAUUAACGUAAUCCCUCAUUUUAUUUAUAAAUAAAGUUUUCUUCGCUAUAUAUGAUGUUAUAAUAGGGAAUAUGACAAG